CAAUGACCUCAAAAACCCUUCCCCGUAAUCAACACCCAGAUCCCCUCCUCCCAUCGUCCCUCUCCCAUGCCGAAUACUCUCCCUCCUCCUUCCUCUGUCGACGCCGAUGCCGAUGACGUCAUUGACACGUCGAACACCGACGCCCCCUCCUCCUCCCACCUCUCGCUGUCAAGACCUCCCCCGUGAUCUACACCCAUAUCCCCAAUUUCACAUCCCCCCGUUGAUGACCGAGCUCCUCCUGCUGUCGACGCCGAGCUCCUCCCUCAUCGUAAAACUCCCCCGCUGUCGACUUCGACGCUGAUCCCGACGCCGAGCUCCUCCCCCGUGCUCCUCCAUCGUCGAAGAUCGAGCUCCUCCCUCGACGCCGACGUUGAGCUCCUCCCUCAUCGACGACGAGUUCCUCCCUCCUCUCCGAGCUUCCCCGCUGUCGACGCUGACCCCGACGCCGAGCUCCUUCCCCGUGCUUCUCCCUCGUUGAAGACCGAGCUCCUCCUUCGACGCCGACGCUGAGCUCCUCCCUCGUCGAUGCAUUUGAGCAAAUAUUCAGAGGCCGAGCUCCUCCCCCGUCUACGCCGGACUCUCUCUUCGAAUUAUUGAUGGCGAUCUCUCCAACACCCAGCCUCGACAAUCUCUUCGAAAAUCAAAGUGUUUCACUCCAAAGAACCAAUCUUUCUGAAAAUUUUUCUGAGGUAAGCCAUCGGUCUUAAAACGUCGGAUUAUUGCUAAUUCUGUGAUUAUUAGCUGUGAUUGAAUUUUCUGAAUAAUUAUCAUGUUCUUUGGAAUUAUUAGCUGUGAUUGAAUUUAAUUCUUUUGGUUGAGGAUAAAAUUUGAAGAAGAUUAUUUAAUGCAUGACAGGAAUAUCACUAGCAUAUUGAUUAUUGCUACCUCAUUGGUCAUUGCCAAUGUUUCAGGGCUACGAGAACACUUGGUUGUAACUUCGGAGCAUGUCAGAGCAUUUUUGGAGCCUGUUGCGUGUUCGAACAACUCAUUGGAUGACGAGUCAACCAGCUGCAGUUUCCCCCAGGUUGUUGGAGCACAGGUUGCUGGAGCAUAAUGUUAUUUAAGCAUUUAAGUAUCUUGGAUCUCAGUCUACAUGUAUCGACAAUAACUUUGGUUGUAACUUUAUUUUGUUUUGAAACAUGAAAAUGACUCUAAUUUGUGAGAACACCUGAUUGUAACUUUGGAUGAUGUAACCUGGUGUUAGAAAUCUCUGCUAGUUUCUUCUAAAUGUGUUUAUGGUGAAAUUGUUUAAUGUGUGUAUUCAUGAA